AUUGAACGCUGGCGGCAGGCCUAACACAUGCAAGUCGAGCGGAGCGGCGGACGGGUGAGUAAUGCAUAGGAGUCUGCCUGGUAGUGGGGGAUAACGUCCGGAACCGGGCGCUGAUACCGCAUCUUAUCAGAUGAGCCUAGGUCGGUUUAGCUAUUUGGUGGGGUAAAGGCCUACCAAGGCGACGAUCCGUAACUGGUCUGAGAGGAUGAUCAGUCACACUGGAACUGAGACACGGUCCAGACGCCUACGGGAGGAAGCAGUGGGGAAUAUUGGACAAUGGGCGAAAGCCUGAUCCAGCCAUGCCGCGUGUGUGAAGAAGGUCUUCGGGUUGUAAAGCACUUUAAGUUGGGAGGCGUUACCAACAGAAUAAGCACCGGCUAACUUCGUGCCAGCAGCCGCGGUAAUAC
rnacentral:rRNA from 1 species